CCUAGUCGAAACACACAAUUAAUAUGUAAAAAGAAACAUAAGGUCACGUACGCGCAUGACCCAUGCACGGACGUAAAAUAUACGAAAUGCAUUUUCGAUUUCUUAAUAAGGUUCUAUAGUCUGAUUAUUAUCCAGAUAAUCACCGGAUGCUAUCUAGUGGUGUCCCAAGUACGUUUUUCCGACAACCGAUUUACACCAAAAUCUGGACUUAACAUCUCACUUCUCUACCAAACUUUUGGCUGGAACCUAAAAAUUAUGGCUGGCAUCUUCUCCAACCUCACUCAGUUCUUCAUGCACAAACAACAUAAGAACAAUUACAAAG